CACGUAGGGUGCGAGCGUUGUCCGGAACUAUUGGGCGUAAAGAGCUCGUAGGCGGUGUGUCGCGUCGGCCGUGAAAACCUGCAGCUUAACUGUGGGCUUGCGGUCGAUACGGGCAUCACUGGAGUUCGGCAGGGGAGACUGGAAUUCCUGGUGUAGCGGUGAAAUGCGCAGAUAUCAGGAGGAACACCGGUGGCGAAGGCGGGUCUCUGGGCCGAUACUGACGCUGAGGAGCGAAAGCGUGGGGAGCGAACAGG
rnacentral:rRNA from 1 species